CCUGGAGGACAAAAAGCAGGCAG
rnacentral:piRNA from 1 species